rnacentral:rRNA from 1 species
AGUGAACGCUGGCGGUAGGCCUAAUACAUGCAAGUCGAACGACCACACAGUAAGCUUUCUCUCCUAAGGGUGGCGAGUGGCGGACGGGUGAGGCAUACAUCGGCUUCUACUUUUUCGGGGGGGACAACGUGGGGAAACUGACGCUAAUAGCGCAUAUGUUCUACGGGUGAAAGCAGGGGAUCUUCGGACCUUUCGCGUUUGAAUGAGCCGAUGUCGGAUUAGCUAGUUGGCGUGGUAAAGGCUCACCAAGGCGACGAUCCGUAGCUGAUCUGAGAGGAUGAUCGGCCACACUGGAACUGAGACACGGUCCAGACUCCUACGGGAGGCAGCAGUGGGGAAUAUUCGGCAAUGGGCGAAAGCCUGACGCAGCCAUGCCGCGUGAGUGAUGAAGGUCUUCGGGUCGUAAAGCUCUUUUAUUAGGGAAGAACAACUGUGUAAGUAUCUAUGCAUGUCUUGACGGUACCUAAACAGAAAGCACCGGCUAACUACGUG